AGGUAGAUUUCUGGACCAUGUUAAGGACUCCUUUGAAAGAGUAUCAAUACAUUUGAAGGAAAACCUGUCUUCCUAGUUUAUAAUUUUCACCAGUGACAAUCAACUGCUCAGAUAUAGCCACAGGGGAGACAGAUGGUUGGAUUUAUCCUGGUUUGGGAUUUUGCCAAGAAAUAUUGUGGAUGGAAAAUACGGUGGAUGAAAACAGGGACAAGGCAGUUGAGGGCUUUUGCAAGGAACUGAUUACAAUGAUUUACCACUGAAUUCUCACUGGAGAAGGCAAGUGGAGCUGGGAGAAAAUGAGAGGAAAAUAGAUAGUAGAAAUCCAUGGAAUGAUGCUGCCAGGGUAGACUUCAACAAGUGAAUUGGGAGCAGGUUGAUGGGGCUGGGGGAGUGCGGGGGCAGGGAGAACGGGCCAUUUUGUUGUGUGAUUUUCAGUGUAGUGUGAGUCCUGAUAUGUCAACAACAUCCAGAAUAUAACUACGGGAGAAGAUGGCUGAGAUGGAAAGCAGGAGAGAGUUGCUAAAGAUAAAUGAAGAAGGAAUGGACAGGUCAUUUCUGCGGCUGUCCGUGGGAUCCGGAACUCGUGACAAACAAGGAGCUGGUUACCAGGAGAUUAUUGGCAGACGGCACAAUGAGGAGAGACAGGUGGUUUUGCCAGAUGGUAUAAGGUUCAGAGGAGUAAGAUGGAGUUGGAUUUUUGAUAAGGUGGAGCAUAAAUAAUAUCCAGAAUUGGCAAUGAAGACCGAGAAGGACACUGAUCCAAACCUCUGUGAUGAGUUAUCAUCAUUUGAGAAAAUAAGCAUGAACACUUCUUAAGAAGAUCAUGUCCGUAUGGACCAGCUGAGUGCCAAAGAUGGAUUCAGAAGGUGGAGGCAGCUUUCAGAGGAGAGUUUGGGAAUAUAAGGAAGGUGGCUGAGUGUGGACAAGAACUCCCAAGGACAGCUGCUGUACCAGAAAGUUUUUGUUCUCUGAAGAAAAUACUGAACUGAAAAGAUAAUUGGUAUUCAAGACACACAUGUUUUCUACCAGCAAAUAAGAAGAAAGCACAACAGUAUUCUUGAAGGAUGCUGAUUUUUUUGUGUUUUGCAAUUCUGCAUUUUCAAAAAUGACAUCUGUUUUGUGAGUGACUAAAAACUCUGGAGGAAGAAUUUGUAAAAGGAAAUAAAAUUGUGUUUCUGAGCA